rnacentral:lncRNA from 1 species
UCAACCGUUUAACAGCACUGGACCAGAUAAUAAUCUGGAUGUUGUAAUAUCCUUGCUUGCUUUUAGGGUCUACCCCAAUGUCUGCUACCACAAAGAGGAAAUGAGAAUUCGUACUGCUGAGGGGCAUAAUGUGCUCAGCCACGCAUCACCCGUCAGCAGACAGGACAGGAAGUGUCGGUCACCUUUCUUCAUGCUUGGAGAAUCUUGGUUUGAUGCUUGGGAUUUGCACAGGUGUAGUUCAGAACUGUGGUGAGGCUUCAGCUCCGCUCCUCCCAGCUUAGCCAGAACUUCAGUUUGCUUCAGCCAUCUGUGUAAAGUGAGCACCUCUAAACAGACCGCAAGACUUUUGAACUCAAAAUACUAUGCUUUGUUAAAUCAAAGUACACAUGGAAUCUAAAAGCCAUUAAGAUGUUGGCUUAAGAGUGACUAGGAUCAAGCUGAGAGUGUCCCACAGCGUGGCUGCUUGCAUUGUGCUGUCCGUGCUGUGACGGAGGUGCUCACUGUGGAAGUGACUAAAGGCCUGGGGAUCAUUUGGCAGCUGGACCUACCAGAUGAGUGUGUGCUGAAUGUGAUCCAUCGAAUCUCCAGGCCACCAGCAGCGGGCGUCAACCUCAUGGCUGCCAGUGGAAGGUGAGCUUGAUGCUGUGGGGCGGGGGGCACUCAGCACCUCUCCCCCCAGGGACACCAAAUCCCCACACAGCAGCUUUGAGCUGUCA